UCUAAAGAUCAUAUCAUUUCUUGCCUUCCAAAUAGACCACCAGCAUCCUACCAAUUCGGAUAAGCUGCUUCUCGUCUUAUGGCAUCCCUUCCUAUUCAUCCACGAUCCAAACUAGGAUUACAUCGUUUCCCAGGUCCCUUGCCUCUACGCCGUCCACUCCCGUCGCGAUGAUAAACUUGCUGAACACACACCGCGUGAACAGGUGGUCCACUGAUUCCUCUUCCGCUCCGCAAAAUACGCAAUCUAAGUUUCCCACCCACCCACGCUUCACGAGUAAAU
rnacentral:lncRNA from 1 species